AGUAGCUUCACCCCUGGCAUUUCCAAAAAGAGAGGGCUAGAUCUGUAUUGCACCAAAGCUAAUUGACUACCUCCAGAUAUCAAGCUGAAGAAGUGGAGAGAUGAGCUCAAGUAUCCCACUGAAAAAUAUGGUCAGAUUCGGCACCUUGCUGGGAUCGGGUAGCACAGCUGGAUGACAUAAGACUUCUGAAGGGAGGAUUUGGGAUGGACAUCUCCACUUAGGACAGUUGGCAUCCUGCCCCACAGCCAUGUAAAUGUUCCUCUAUACGAACGUUCAUUGUUGCCUUCUACAUUCCUCUGCUGACAGUGAAGAGGUCAUGCUAAAUCAAACUGACGGAGAAACUGGACAUCAGCUUAGCCAGGAUGCCCAAAUUAAUACUACUGAAACAAAAGGUGCAUAAGAACCAAGUUGGAGAAAAACUGGCUUUGGAAACACUAGCAGAAGGCAAAGAGGACUUUCUGAAGUAUGCCUGACUCAAAGCUAAGUGGAUUUUGCUGAAGUGUGUAUGGGAGCUGUUCCAUGGUGGAUUAACAACUGUCCUUGCCGAUUAACACAAAAAAUAUUCUUCAGCAUAUAGGACGUAGGUGGAGGGGAGCUGGUUGAGCUGGUUCUAUCAAACCAGAAGAGUCAUAUCUAUACACACAGAUUCUCCUGCAGUCCAGUGCUUGACUAACUUAACCUUCAGUGUAGGAUUGAAGAGGCUUAAUUAGGCUGGAGCAGCUUUACAUGAUGCCUAACAGUGCCCUGUCAGAGCCUUCCAGUGACUAAGAGCCAAGUGCUGCAAUUAAGCCUGGACCAGUUGAGAACAGAGAAAACCUGGGAAGGAAGAAGAGCAUGAGGAUGGUAAGAUGGAGGGCAGUCAGAACAACCACAGGUGGCUUUUACUGCUUCUGGAUAAUGGAGGUAUGAACAUCUGUCAUAUUUGAGCUAGAGAAUUCCUCCUGUUAGUUUGCCACUGGUGGAAACUUCCUGAUGAGAGCACUCCCCUCUUGCACAGUGGACCUCCAGUGUCUGGAAACCAAACACUCUCUUUCCUCUGAGUUUUUCUCUCUCACGGUGCCAACAUUGAAAUAUUUUUCUUUCCCACCACAGGGUGUUUUUUGAUGUUGUUGUUGAUGAUCAUUUUCAUUUUUGGUGUUUUCUUUUAUGGCUUUUGAGUCAGCUGUCUUAAAAGAGGAAGACUUGACCAUCUGGUUCUGGGAACUAUCAGCAUCUGAGAGGCAUGGCUGGUUUGUACUUCAUUACAGGCCUGGUUAAAAUAAACAGAACCAUCAUCCUUAGAAAAUAAGAUGCACCAGAUGUAAAACAACCUCAAGGUUUGUGGAGAGAGGGUGAAAUUUAUGCAGAAUUUGAGAGAGAUUGAGGGAUUAAUAGAGGGGUGUUAUAAAAUGGAAUUUCAGUUGCAGUUACUUCUGAUCACAGAAUCAUAGAAUCACCAAGGUUGGAAAAGACCUACAGGAUCAUCCAGUCCAACCAUCUGCCUAUCACCAAGAUGUCUUAUCUUGAAAGGAGGAGGGUGGAGACAGCUAAAAACACAAAGGGAAACAGAACCCUUUGGUAACCCACUGGUUACCCAUCAUGUGUUUUUUCCCUUUUUCUUUCUUCCCUACUACCCCCAGUAUGCUGGCUUCGUAGGUGUGGUAUAUAACUCGCUCCUCUGAUGGGGAAUGGGCACAGCCUGUGAGGCAGCCAUGGAUCCAUGCCCAAGAAGUUACAAUUACCCAGUGCUAUGGGGAAGACCCAAGUGGCCCAUUCUGCAGGUAGCCUUUACCUUGUCUGUGUGACCAACUGACAAAGAGAAUAAGUAAUUUCUUAGCUUUUCAAUGGUGAACUGCGUCUGUUUUUGUCUGAAAGAAGGCACUGCCAAGUGAAAAAAAAAAAAAAAAAAAAGAAAAGAGAGUGGGAAGACUACCCAGCUGCUAACACAAUGCAAGGGAAGGCCUUGGCUGCUGUUCAAAGCUGCUCUGAGUGAAAAGAAGAUGAUCACAGAAUCACAGAAUUGAAGAUGAUGGAGGUCCCAGAAAUGUGUGAUGGAGAGGGAUUGGCAGUGUUUCAAUGCUCUCCCUCCUUCUUCGCCACUGAUGAGCUUUGCUUGGAGCCUCCUGAGCAGCAAGGAGGAGAAGUCAACCAGCAAGGAACUUGGGACUAUGAGAGGGGGCUCAUUGUGACACAGCACCAUGCUCUCAAUGGUGAAAAAGGCCUUUCUCCCCAAAAGCUGGCAGUGAUAUGCAAUACCUCUGGGGGAGACGUGGUCACCUGCAAGUGUGCUGGUGGCAGGCUUCUAAGGACUUAAAGUGCAUCAAGGUGUGAACACUGUCAUGGCCAGCCUCAUCUGAUCCAUCUCUUCCCCACCUAUACCUCCUUUUGGCAAGUCAGGUCGAAGAGCCCACUGAUAAGGACCAGACACAAGUCUCAGACCCAUGGCCUCUGAGAGAUGCUCGAAGGUGAACUUGGUGCCAGCGGGAAGCUUUGCAAAUGGCUGCUAAAGUUCACACCUGACUGAGCUGCAGGGCUCUGCCUGACAGCUAUCAGAGGAUGAGGAGAAACGCUUUGUGCUGCUGUUUCUCUCUCCUGUUUCUUGACCAUCUCCUCCAACUGUCAGCAGAGCAAGGAGCACCGUGUUGGGAAAAACGUUUACAAUCUGUAUGAGUGACUAAAAUGAAAAGCCCCAAAGAAGCCAACAGACCUGAGGUGCGGCCUUGGGUGUUUACCGGAGUGCAGCAAUUCUGCUGAUCUGCUGAUCUGUGCUGGGGCACAACACAUACUGCUCUGAGAGCUGAGAGGCCUACGCAAGCAAAAAGUUGAGAAGCUAGUAAUUAGUCCAAUAAUGUGGAGACAUUGUUACUGCAGCUCAUUAAAUUUGGCAAUGCUCACUUGGACCUUUGAGUGCUGGCAGUGUCAAGUUGACCUGAAACGCAAGGAUUCCAUCUGUCGGGAAUUACUGAUGAAUUGGAAAUUAAAUAUAAGUAUAUAUAUUUAACUCAUUACUUGUGCUGGAUUGACAGUCCUGCGAGCACUGGCAUUUCAUGUUCAUCGACAGAUUAAUCGUGCUCCCCCCGGGCUCCAGCCCUCAUGGGGAGGGACCGGCAGCAGGGAUGAGAGGAGAGCCAGGUGCCACGGGGAUUUAAUUCUCGUUCUGUCUGCAGAAUACGCUGAUGAGAGUGGCAGUUUGAGGGAAUGAAGACAUAGACCUGCCAUUUCUGUAAAGACCAUGUUCUUUGCAGGGAUUCUGCAGUGUGAAGAAGAACUGGCAUGGACCCCACUGCAGAACAGCUGUGCACAAGCCCAGUGUCCUCGAGCACCUGCUUUCUUCAAGCACUCAUACCACAAAGUACAAAAUGAGCUUGCAAGAGCUGUGGACAUUUGUCCUGGUCAGGUGCCACCCUGACUGAGUCCAUGCUGGCUCUGCAUGGAGGGGACAUCAGGCAAGCACUUGUGACACCUUGUGCAGCAGUCCAAGGCAGUAGAGCUCUUGUUGGUACAACCGUGAGAACCCCUCUCUCCCUCAAAACACAAUGGGAUGGAGCAAACCUGCAGCAAAUUCUCCCCAGCAAGUCACUGCCUCGCCAACAGUGGGCAUCAGUUUAUGGCUCUAGGAAGCACUAAAUGUACUGGAAGGGAACAAUCUGGGUGUCUUGACUAGCACACAUUUUAUAUGUCAGUGGGCUCCGGUCAGCACUUCUUUUCUCCAGUUCACUGAGACCUUCAGAGAGGCUUCUUGUUGUUCCCAGGGCAUGAGCUGCCACAAAAGAACUUCACUAAAUUGCCCCGCAUUACACAUUCACUCUGUCUGCCUUUGAGCAGGGCCCCAGAGCUCCAUCGUGGCUGCACAAGGAGUGUGCAACCUCCCUUACUGAUGGUAGAUAUACCAGCUAGACACAUGCCCGUAAUACUGCCUGGAAGGAAGG
ensembl:lncRNA